rnacentral:rRNA from 1 species
CCUACGGUGGGCUGCAGUGAGGAAUAUUGGUCAAUGGGCGGGAGCCUGAACCAGCCAAGUCGCGUGAGGGAAGACGGUCCUACGGAUUGUAAACCUCUUUUGCCGGGGAGCAACGGGGGCCUUGCGAGGGCCCGAUGAGAGUACCCGGAGAAAAAGCAGCGGCUAACUCCGUGCCAGCAGCCGCGGUAAUACGGAGGAUGCGAGCGCUAGCCGGAUUUAUUGGGUUUAAAGGGUGCGUAGGCGGGCUGUUAAGUCAGCGGUCAAAUGUCGGGACUCACCCCCGGCCUGCCGUUGAAACUGGCGGCCUCUAGUGGGCGAGAAGUAUGCGGAAUGCUUGGUGUAGCCGUCACAUGCAU